rnacentral:tRNA from 1 species
GGGCGCCUAGCUCAGUGGUAGAGCGCUUCCUUCACACGGAAGAGGUCGCUGGUCCGAUCCCAGCGGCGCCCA